GCGGCAAACGGGUGAGUAAUAUCUGGGAAUCUACCCAAAAGAGGGGGAUAACUACUAGAAAUGGUAGCUAAUACCGCAUAAAGUUGAAAAACCAAAGUGGGGGACCUUUUAGGCCUCAUGCUUUUGGAUGAGCCCAGACGAGAUUAGCUUGUUGGUAAGGUAAAAGCUUACCAAGGCUACGAUCUCUAGCUGGUCUGAGAGGAUAACCAGCCACACUGGAACUGAGACACGGUCCAGACUCCUACGGGAGGCAGCAGUGGGGAAUAUUGCACAAUGGGCGAAAGCCUGAUGCAGCUAUGCCGCGUGUAUGAAGAAGGCCUUAGGGUUGUAAAGUACUUUCAGCGGGGAGGAAAAAAAUAAAAAUAAUACUUUUAU
rnacentral:rRNA from 2 species